rnacentral:rRNA from 1 species
GAACGCUGGCGGUAGGCCUAACACAUGCAAGUCGAACGGCAGCACAGUAAGAGCUUGCUCUUACGGGUGGCGAGUGGCGGACGGGUGAGGAAUACAUCGGAAUCUACUUUUUCGUGGGGGAUAACGUAGGGAAACUUACGCUAAUACCGCAUACGACCUACGGGUGAAAGCAGGGGAUCUUCGGACCUUGCGCGAUUGAAUGAGCCGAUGUCGGAUUAGCUAGUUGGCGGGGUAAAGGCCCACCAAGGCGACGAUCCGUAGCUGGUCUGAGAGGAUGAUCAGCCACACUGGAACUGAGACACGGUCCAGACUCCUACGGGAGGCAGCAGUGGGGAAUAUUGGACAAUGGGCGCAAGCCUGAUCCAGCCAUACCGCGUGGGUGAAGAAGGCCUUCGGGUUGUAAAGCCCUUUUGUUGGGAAAGAAAAGCGGCAGGUUAAUACCCCGCUGUUCUGACGGUACCCAAAGAAUAAGCACCGGCUAACUUCGUG